UGCAAGUCGAACGCUUCUUUUUCCACCGGAGCUUGCUCCACCGGAAAAAGAGGAGUGGCGAACGGGUGAGUAACACGUGGGUAACCUGCCCAUCAGAAGGGGAUAACACUUGGAAACAGGUGCUAAUACCGUAUAACAAUCGAAACCGCAUGGUUUNGAUUUGAAAGGCGCUUUCGGGUGUCGCUGAUGGAUGGACCCGCGGUGCAUUAGCUAGUUGGUGAGGUAACGGCUCACCAAGGCGACGAUGCAUAGCCGACCUGAGAGGGUGAUCGGCCACAUUGGGACUGAGACACGGCCCAAACUCCUACGGGAGGCAGCAGUAGGGAAUCUUCGGCAAUGGACGAAAGUCUGACCGAGCAACGCCGCGUGAGUGAAGAAGGUUUUCGGAUCGUAAAACUCUGUUGUUAGAGAAGAACAAGGAUGAGAGUAACUGUUCAUCCCUUGACGGUAUCUAACCAGAAAGCCACGGCUAACUACG
rnacentral:rRNA from 1 species